CAACCUGCUUGGAUCAAACAAUGAGUUUGAGAUACUGGGAGAUGCAAUAGAAAGAAAUACAGAUACUAAUAAAGUGUACAAGGAACUUUUUUCUAAGGCAACCAAGCUCGGAAGCAAGGGAAGCAACCUAAAAACUAAUUAUAUUAUCAAGAUUCUUGGCUUGUCUGACUGUGCUGAAACUAUAGUAGGGGAUGCGCUCCAUAGAGGAAUUUCCGGGGGCCAGAAAAAGCCAAC